rnacentral:tRNA from 1 species
GGUGGCUCAGUGGUAGAGUGCUUGCCUUGCAUGCAUGAGACCCUGGGUUCAAUUCCUCAGCACCU